GCCCUGGCAGUCAGAGGCGAUGAAGGACGUGCUAAUCUGCGAUAAGCGUCGGUAAGGUGAUAUGAACCGUUAUAACCGGCGAUUUCCGAAUGGGGAAACCCAGUGUGUUUCGACACACUAUCAUUAACUGAAUCCAUAGGUUAAUGAGGCGAACCGGGGGAACUGAAACAUCUAAGUACCCCGAGGAAAAGAAAUCAACCGAGAUUCCCCCAGUAGCGGCGAGCGAACGGGGAGCAGCCCAGAGCCUGAAUCAGUGUGUGUGUUAGUGGAAGCGUCUGGAAAGGCGCGCGAUACAGGGUGACAGCCCCGUACACAAAAAUGCACAUACUGUGAGCUCGAUGAGUAGGGCGGGACACGUGGUAUCCUGUCUGAAUAUGGGGGGACCAUCCUCCAAGGCUAAAUACUCCUGACUGACCGAUAGUGAACCAGUACCGUGAGGGAAAGGCGAAAAGAACCCCGGCGAGGGGAGUGAAAAAGAACCUGAAACCGUGUACGUACAAGCAGUGGGAGCACGCUUAGGCGUGUGACUGCGUACCUUUUGUAUAAUGGGUCAGCGACUUAUAUUCUGUAGCAAGGUUAACCGAAUAGGGGAGCCGAAGGGAAACCGAGUCUUAACUGGGCGUUAAGUUGCAGGGUAUAGACCCGAAACCCGGUGAUCUAGCCAUGGGCAGGUUGAAGGUUGGGUAACACUAACUGGAGGACCGAACCGACUAAUGUUGAAAAAUUAGCGGAUGACUUGUGGCUGGGGGUGAAAGGCCAAUCAAACCGGGAGAUAGCUGGUUCUCCCCGAAAGCUAUUUAGGUAGCGCCUCGUGAAUUCAUCUCCGGGGGUAGAGCACUGUUUCGGCAAGGGGGUCAUCCCGACUUACCAACCCGAUGCAAACUGCGAAUACCGGAGAAUGUUAUCACGGGAGACACACGGCGGGUGCUAACGUCCGUCGUGAAGAGGGAAACAACCCAGACCGCCAGCUAAGGUCCCAAAGUCAUGGUUAAGUGGGAAACGAUGUGGGAAGGCCCAGACAGCCAGGAUGUUGGCUUAGAAGCAGCCAUCAUUUAAAGAAAGCGUAAUAGCUCACUGGUCGAGUCGGCCUGCGCGGAAGAUGUAACGGGGCUAAACCAUGCACCGAAGCUGCGGCAGCGACGCUGAUGCGUUGUUGGGUAGGGGAGCGUUCUGUAAGCCUGCGAAGGUGUGCUGUGAGGCAUGCUGGAGGUAUCAGAAGUGCGAAUGCUGACAUAAGUAACGAUAAAGCGGGUGAAAAGCCCGCUCGCCGGAAGACCAAGGGUUCCUGUCCAACGUUAAUCGGGGCAGGGUGAGUCGACCCCUAAGGCGAGGCCGAAAGGCGUAGUCGAUGGGAAACAGGUUAAUAUUCCUGUACUUGGUGUUACUGCGAAGGGGGGACGGAGAAGGCUAUGUUGGCCGGGCGACGGUUGUCCCGGUUUAAGCGUGUAGGCUGGUUUUCCAGGCAAAUCCGGAAAAUCAAGGCUGAGGCGUGAUGACGAGGCACUACGGUGCUGAAGCAACAAAUGCCCUGCUUCCAGGAAAAGCCUCUAAGCAUCAGGUAACAUCAAAUCGUACCCCAAACCGACACAGGUGGUCAGGUAGAGAAUACCAAGGCGCUUGAGAGAACUCGGGUGAAGGAACUAGGCAAAAUGGUGCCGUAACUUCGGGAGAAGGCACGCUGAUAUGUAGGUGAAGCGACUUGCUCGUGGAGCUGAAAUCAGUCGAAGAUACCAGCUGGCUGCAACUGUUUAUUAAAAACACAGCACUGUGCAAACACGAAAGUGGACGUAUACGGUGUGACGCCUGCCCGGUGCCGGAAGGUUAAUUGAUGGGGUCAGCGCAAGCGAAGCUCUUGAUCGAAGCCCCGGUAAACGGCGGCCGUAACUAUAACGGUCCUAAGGUAGCGAAAUUCCUUGUCGGGUAAGUUCCGACCUGCACGAAUGGCGUAAUGAUGGCCAGGCUGUCUCCACCCGAGACUCAGUGAAAUUGAACUCGCUGUGAAGAUGCAGUGUACCCGCGGCAAGACGGAAAGACCCCGUGAACCUUUACUAUAGCUUGACACUGAACAUUGAGCCUUGAUGUGUAGGAUAGGUGGGAGGCUUUGAAGUGUGGACGCCAGUCUGCAUGGAGCCGACCUUGAAAUACCACCCUUUAAUGUUUGAUGUUCUAACGUUGACCCGUGAUCCGGGUUGCGGACAGUGUCUGGUGGGUAGUUUGACUGGGGCGGUCUCCUCCUAAAGAGUAACGGAGGAGCACGAAGGUUGGCUAAUCCUGGUCGGACAUCAGGAGGUUAGUGCAAUGGCAUAAGCCAGCUUGACUGCGAGCGUGACGGCGCGAGCAGGUGCGAAAGCAGGUCAUAGUGAUCCGGUGGUUCUGAAUGGAAGGGCCAUCGCUCAACGGAUAAAAGGUACUCCGGGGAUAACAGGCUGAUACCGCCCAAGAGUUCAUAUCGACGGCGGUGUUUGGCACCUCGAUGUCGGCUCAUCACAUCCUGGGGCUGAAGUAGGUCCCAAGGGUAUGGCUGUUCGCCAUUUAAAGUGGUACGCGAGCUGGGUUUAGAACGUCGUGAGACAGUUCGGUCCCUAUCUGCCGUGGGCGCUGGAGAACUGAGGGGGGCUGCUCCUAGUACGAGAGGACCGGAGUGGACGCAUCACUGGUGUUCGGGUUGUCAUGCCAAUGGCACUGCCCGGUAGCUAAAUGCGGAAGAGAUAAGUGCUGAAAGCAUCUAAGCACGAAACUUGCCCCGAGAUGAGUUCUCCCUGACUCCUUGAGAGUCCUGAAGGAACGUUGAAGACGACGACGUUGAUAGGCCGGGUGUGUAAGCGCAGCGAUGCGUUGAGCUAACCGGUACUAAUGAACCGUGAGGCUUAACCUUACAACGCCGAAGCUGUU
rnacentral:rRNA from 1 species